GCGUUAUCAGUUCACAGUUCAGCCCAAAACUGCUCCAAACUUCUUUCACUUUCAUACAGUUGUAUUGCAGUUUUAUCCACCAAAACAGGUGAUAGAUGCAGACUACUGCCAUUGGUAAACAGACAAGGCAGGACUGUUUGAUUCUCUGCCUAGACACCUAGGGCUGUAAAUGUACUGAGGUUUCUGCAACAGAAGAGCACACAACAUGGAGCCUCAAGGACGUCAAUCAAUGUAUCUUAAAUAGAGGAUUUUAAAGUAAGUUUUGCUUUGCAUCUCUAACACAGGACCUUUAAGACAAAAUACUGUUUCUUGUGCUGAAUUCCGUCAUUGGAGACGAAUUGAUAGUUGUUUGAGUUGACCUUCAGAGAGACUAUUUGAACUGGAGGAAAGAAGAGACGAGCACAUAAAGGCUGUGUGUUUUUCAGUCCACAUGAACCAGUGACUGGUUUUUGCUACCAUUAAUCAAAGGAGAGAGGACUUAAUUCUGCCUGACCGCUUAGCCCAUGCCAUGAGGUCUUAUGGGACAUAAGUCACCCAGCUGAUAAAUUGGAGAUCCACUCACUCUGAGUUUUAAAAAAAAUAACCAUAUUAGCAGCAUUGGAGGUGGCAAUGUUCUGUUAAAACCGUUCAGUGCUCAACAAUUCAGCAAUGUUCCAUUUUCAGACUUUGUACGCUCUUUGGAAUUGCAAGAGGUUGGUCAGAAUCAGUCUUGAACUUUAUCAUCAGUUCCUGGAAAGCCCAGGGCACCUGUGGAUGGCUGGCAACGAGAAGUUGGAUCAAAUCCAGUUACAAAUGACACCAAGCCUCUGAUAACAAAGCACAAGAGUCAUUUGAAUGGUUGCCCAUCAUACACAACGAUGGCAGUUCUUCAUGACCUGAACUGCACAAUGAAACCUGUGCAAGAGUUUUUAAAGUGGAAAAGCCUUUGCACUGGGACAGCUCCACUCUCUCAACCUUGAAGGCUAGGUCCAGUAGUCACACUGGGGUCUUCCUUGCUUGCAGUAGAUGACCAUGACUUCUUCUGUGCCUUGUCAUGCCCUUCCUUUUCCAAUCUCAAUACUUAUUACUUAUUUAUUUAUUUGUGCUUGCCGUCUUAUAUGUACUAUAUUGCCUUGACCCCAGAUAAAUGCUGUUUUGGCUAGCUAUAUUCAUGUAUGGUUGAUUAACAGUUAAACUAGAACUUGAACUUAUUUAUUAUUAUUAUCCUAUUGUUUCUUUUCUGUAUUUGCACAACUAAUUGUCAUUUGCACAUUAGUCUAUCUUUGCUGUGGGCAGUUUUCAUUGACUCUAUUGUGUUUCUUUGUAUCUAAUGUGACUGCCCAAAAGAAAAUGAAUCUCUGGGUAGUACAUGGUGAUGUAUACAGUAUGUAUUCUGAUAAUGAAUUUACUUUUGAACUUUGAAGCGGGCAGAACUGCCUUCCUGCCUGUUGGAUCUCCUCUGCCCAGUCCUCUGGGGCUGACUUAACAUUCUAGGACAACCAUGUCCCCAUUUCACUGGGAUAUGAGGCCCACAAGCUACCCUCACCUGGUUUAGCCUGCCUGUUAAUGCAAUGUAUCGUGAUGUAGUCACUGUGCAUGUAGACAGCAACUUGCAGUACAGGUCAGAGCUGAAUAUACAGUUGGGACUAAAGGUGAGUGAGUUACCCCACAAUGGACACAACAAGCCCUUUAUCAGAGGUGUUACCACUCCCUGGACAAUCCAGGUCCGCUCUUCUCCCCCCAGUCUGUGAAAACAGGACCAGCAACUCAGAAAGGCACAGCCUUUAAGAUGAGUAAGAGCAAUUUUAGAUUUAGCAUAUAUCACAAAUUACUUCAACUGAUUUCAGCAACGAAUCUUCAGAUCCGAAUACGAACUGUGGAUUAAAUCUAAAAUGCAGCUCUGAACAAUGGGUUCCUAGGAACUGCGAACCACACUUAAUUGGAAGACCAGACAAAGCUCAUUUAAUUACUUGGGUGUCUGUGGGUGCAAAGAAGGAGGUGUGAAGGUUAUGUGUCUUUCAAAGGAGGCAUUGUAAAUAUGGAAUUGUCCUUUAAUCUUCAGCAUAUAAAAUGUCAUAGUGUUGGUUCAAGGAGGCCUUUUUCUGCUAAAAGGGGUCUCAAUAAGAUGCCUGCUGUGUCUUAUUUUGUUGAAUGAAGAGACUGCUUCAUAUCUCCCAGUACUUCUCUCUGGUGACUUUCUUCACACCACAACAAAAUACAUGCUCAAGAAAUACUAUUUGUCACCACUGAAAAUGCUCGAGCCACAUUGAUGAUAAACAAUAAAACAGAUGAAAACCAUUUUUACUAUAGCAUUUAAUAGAAGAUUGUUAUUGCAAUGAGCAAAUUCAGUUAAUAUGACAAACUGAGUUGAAAGCCAUCUUUCAUGACGUGUUAAUGAAAUUUACAUUAAAAUUUUUGCCUCAACUUGGUUUUAAUAUUUAAAAUUUAAAUAAAUGGACACAACAAUCAUCUAAAUUCAAGGGUAUUCAUUCUUAGUUUGUUGAACAACUAAUCCCACACAAUCCAAGUGUUAUUCUGGCACCUCCAAGAGGACUACAAACUUGUCAUAAGUUUUGGAGGCUUGCGUGCCUCAAUGACCUGGAGAGCUAUUUUGGCUGGAGUCGGGGCUUUAUGUUUUGGAUCUUGAUGGGGUCACCCAUGCCAAACAGGUCAAAGGGUAGAGGCCAGACUAAGAGUGGUCCACUGGUCUUCCAGGUUCUGGGGGUUCAGCUCAGGGCUAACGACCCUGAGACUGAUAAAACAAAAUUGUUAAGGAAACGGUAAUGAAGUAUCCUUCCACAUCUGAGUGUGAUGGUAUUCCUGAGUUUCCACUUGGGAUUUGCAUGACUGACAGUGAAAACUAAGCUACUGCCAUGAUGAAGGGAAGAGAAGAAGGACUUUUACUGCUGCCCUAAACAUCAGCGACGCAAGGCAGUAGAGUAGUUCUGGUGAUCCUGGAUUGCAGACCCUCUCUUCCCAAGGUAUGGUCCCUGGAACUACUCACGUUAUUGCGGGUGUAAUCAGCCAAUGAUCUAUGUGACUGUAAAAUAAAACUCUUCACCCCUGGCAUUCUAGUUCUCUCAAUUUUCUCUGAAUUUCAUUAAUUAACAAAAGAACUACAGAUGUUCAAAAUCUGAAAUGAAGUGCCAAAGAUACUCAAGCAGAUUAGGCAGCAUCUACAGAAAGAAACAAGAGUUAGUCUAUCAGGUUUCAGGUCUGGGAGCCUUCAUUAGAACUCUAACUGCUUCUCUUUCUACAGAUGCUGCUCGACUGGUGAGUAUCAGAGCUCAUGGAUCAGCUUCAAAAGGCCAGAAGCCUGCCCACCAGAGGACAUCAUCGAAAGGCAGUGGCAGUGCUUCUGUGCUCGAUGACUAUGAACCGUGGAGAGCAUUCUGACUGGUUGCAUCACCAUCUGGUGUGAAGGCACCAAUGCACAGGAUCUGAAAAAAGCUGCAGAGUGUUGUAAACUCAGCCAGGUCCAUCAAGGGCACCGGCCUCCCUACCAUCGAGGACAUCUUCUAAAAGUGAUGCCUCAAGAAUGCGGUGCCUAACAUUAAGGAUACUCACCACUCAGGACAUUCCCUCCUUUCAUUACUAUCAUCAGGGAGGAGGCACAGGAGCCUGAGGUCACACACUCAACAUUUUAGAAACCGUUUCUUCCCCUCCACCAUCAGACUUCUUAAUGGUUUACGAACCAAUGAACACUACCUCACUACUUUGCUCUCUAUUUUCCAAUUCUUUUUAUAUAUAUUUCUUAUUGUAGGAAAUAGAAUAUUUUUGUAUUGUAUUAUAUUGCUGCCAGCAAAACAACAAAUUUCAUGACAUGUCAGUGAUAACAAAACUGAUUCCGAUUAUUUUCAAGCACAAUUUAUGUUGAUCAGAGGGCAGGGGGUGGAAUGAGCAAAAGGAAUGUCUGUAAUACAGUGGAGACUAAGAUUCUCCAGAUGAGAAAUGCUGUUGUUGCCCUCAAAAGCAAUGUGAUGAAGACUCAGAUUUAUAUAUCAUACAUUGAAAAAGUGAAAUGUCCCAUUUGCACUUAACAACCAACACACGCUAAGGAUGUGCUGGGGGGCAGCCCACAAGUAUCACUGCACAUUCCGGCACCAACAUGGUAGGCGCACCACGUUCAACACAACAUAACAGAACGAACCAAGCAACAGCAGCAAAACAAGCCCUAUUCCUCCCUCCCAUUCACAUACAAAGUUCUCUGACUCCAAGGCAGGCUGGUAAAUCACAGCUGACUGGACUGAGAAAGUACAGGGGGAAAUGAAUGAGGGCAGUGAAGAGAUUAUAAACACACUGGAACUGCAGAACACAAGAGCAGUGGAAAAAGUGAAAUCAUCGAGGAAAGAGGAGAAUUCAGCAAAUAAAUAGCAACUGUGGAGAGAGCAGAACUUAGUUAAUGCUAUAUGUGAAUGUCUUAACUAUUCUGCUUACUAUCUGUACUUGUUCAUAUUUUAAUAGUUCCCUUGUGUCCUCUGCUUCUCACUUUACAGAUGUUGCUCCAUUCCUUACAGGUCCAACACAAAAAGUUUCACAUGUUGCCAUAGGGAUAAAUUGGGUAGACAGUCAGAAUCUUUGCUCCCCAGGGUGGAAAUGUGAUGAUUUGCAUUUAAGGUGAGAGUGGGGAAGUUUGAAGGAGACAUGGAGGGCAUAUUUUUAACCAUUAUAGAGCACUACAACACAUAAACAGGCCCUUCAGCCCAUCUAGUCCAUGAUGAACUGUUAUUCUGUCUAGCCCCAUCAACCUGAACUUGGACUGUUGCCCUCCACACCCCUUCCAUCCAUGUACUGUAACUACGCAAACUUCUUUAAUUUUGUAAUUGAACCUGCAUCUGUCACUUCCACUGGCAGCUCAUUCCACACUCGCACCACCCUUUGAGUGAAGAAGUUUUCCCUCAGUGGACCCUUAAAUAUUUCAUCUUUAACCUAUGACCUCCAUUUCUAGCCCCACCCAACCUCAGUGCAAAAGCCUGAUUGCACGUGAGAGUGAGGAACGAGCUGCCAGGCAGUGUGCAGUCAAUCCAGACAAUAAAGGUCUUUGAAGAGCACAGUGCAUCUUUAUACUGCAGGGUACCAGAGCCAUUUGGUACACAGAGACGAGGUAAAUAAGGGAAUCUAGGGUGACGUUUAAUAUCUGUCAGCUAUUUUACAAAUUUUGAAGUAUUGUUGGUUUUUAAACAUGCAAAAUCUAUUGACACAAUACACCAGGUAUGACCUCACCAACAUCUUGUAUAAUUGCAGCGUCAUGUCCAGAUAGCACCUACCUUUGCCAGUUUAUUGUCAUUUAUGUAUAUUCCCAAAAGGAACAACAUUCCUUCAAACCGAGGUGCACAACACAGUACAUGUAACACACACAUGACACAAAUAAAUUAAAAAUAUUCAUCAACAAAUUUAGAUGAUAGGUUAAAAUAUCAAGUAUCCAAGUUGUUUAUUAAUAGGAUGAUUACCUGCAGAACCAAUAGCGAUCUUUGCAGGAUACAAGGUGAUUGGAGGCUCGGCUCGGCGGUGCUGCCCCCUCCAUCACUGCAACCCCCCCCCACCCCACCCCCGCCCGCCCAGUCAAUUUUAACACUGCCUUCAAUUUCUCAAGUUUCAAUUAUAACCAACUGUCUCUGAAGGACUUCUGUGAAGUAUUCAGGAGGUUCAUGUCGAAGUCAACCCAGGCUAGGCCUUUCACAGUGAACAGUAGGGCCUUGGAGAACUGAGUGGCAUGGGAGUACACAUACAUAGCUACCUGGUAUCACAGGGGGAUGAAGAGAAUAGCACGCUGGCCUUCAGCAGACAGGAUGCAGAAUAUAGGACUUGGGGCACCAUGUUGCAAUUGUACAAGAGUCAUAAACCAGCUUCUUCCAGUUGGUAGAAUGGUUUGGCUGAGACUAGGAACAGCAACAAAAUCUGUGUAGGAUGGUAGCAGGGAAAUAUGCCAGUGGAGAGCCUACUUUGCACUCAGAAUUUUUUUAUCCUCCCUGUACUUCCUUAGGCACAUCAUAUGCAAGGAGUUCCCAAUUAGAUGAAACAACUUCUCUGUUCGCUACAGUAGAUGCACACAGUCCUGAAGAUUAGAUACAGAUA